CAACCACGAGUAUUGGAUAAUCUCAUAUCGUGUAGAUAAUGAAUUCAUUAUUCGCGAAAAACUUGUCGUGGUCUCUGAAUAGAACAACAUAAGAAGAUUUUCAUGUGACACAAGGGCGAGUAUGAUUCUGGCAGGAUCAGACCAUUUUCUGGCGGUACCUGUGGAAGCGACAGCAUUUCUGGGUGCCGUUGCCGGCUUCGUGGUCCUCCUGUUGGCUUUGUUCUUGUACCUGUCACGCAAAUGGUGCUUCACGCCACCAUCUACCACCACGCUUUUCGGCGGCGUUUGCGUGCCUCUCUGCGAGUCUAACAAUGGCUCUACCUCUCAAAUUGCGAAGAACAUAGGAAAGGCAUUUCCCUAUUCGGAUCCAGAGACUAGUUCCGACUCGGAAGAGGAUGUCCUUCGUCGAUUGAAUUCACAUUCUCAUCCACCGCCGGAUACUUUGACUAUCCAAGCGGAGGAUGGACCAACAAUUGUAGAUGCCGGUACUACCUCCAGCAGCUGCACAGAUGACCACUCGCCCACUGAUCAACAACAGUGCGUAGUAGAAGUUGGAUCCUCCGGUAUCAUUCUUGAUAGCAGAGAACAAGAAGUAGAAGUCGAGCAGAAUGGAUCGACUACCAACGAUGUUAUUACAACGAUGGGUACUAUUACCGAAGAAGUGGGUAGCUUGGAGGUCGCUUUCCUAUAUGAUGCACCGAUGCGUGAGAUGACAGUUCAUGUACUACAAGGAAGAAAUUAUCCUGAAGGUAUAGGCGGUAGUCAAGUGAGAUUAGUGCUAUUACCAUCGAAGAAGCAACGACGUAAAACUCGUGUACGCCAGGGUACGUCUCCUCAGUACAUGGAGAGUUUCCUACUUCCACGCGUAAAUCCGGAAGAUGUAAAUGCCAUGGGUGUACGCUUAAGAGUGUAUCUAUGGAGCGGAAGAAUGCGUCGAGAGAGAUUACUAGGCGAAGCCAGGGUCUCCUUCGAUCAGAUCAAUCUUCAGCUUGAAACUACACUCUGGUUAACGUUACAACCACCACCUUUUUCUUCGGUACAAGAUUGGGGAACAACUAGUAGCUUGACACGCAACGAUUCCACGGGAUCUCAGCAAUCGGUUCAAUCGUACGCGUCACCUUCUGCAUGUGUGCCAACUUGCGCGUCGCAUACUGUACCUCCAUACGGCAGUAGUAUGAAGGGUGGAAGCGUGGCAGAGAUUCUUAUAGGCUUGGCGUGUAAUGGGACGACCGGACGUUUAUCGAUAGAAAUAAUCAAAGGAUCUCAUUUUCGGGGUGGUGGUGGAAACGAUACGAAACCACCUGAUACGUAUGUUAAGCUUGCUCUCGUGGAUAGUAAUGGUCAUGAAAUGGAGCGAUCGAAAACUGGUUUGAAACGUGCACAACCGAAUCCUUUGUACAAGGAGACAUUCAUAUUCCAGGUUGCUCUGUUCCAACUUGGAGAUGUAACGCUCUUUCUGUCGGUUUAUAAUCGACGAAGAGGCGGAAUGGGAAGAAAAGGAAGAGAAAUGAUCGGUUGGCUCAGUUUAGGACUAAACAGUUCCGGCUCGGAGGAGCUUCAACAUUGGAACGAUAUGCGUGCAGCAAGGCAGCCGACACAAAUUCAACGCUGGCAUUCGCUGUUACGUCCUUGAAACAUCUUAUCACGAAAGAGUUCCUGUUACGGAGAAACAUUUUACGUUAACAAUAACGAUAUGGUUUGAUUGGGAGAAUACGAUGCAUAUAACGCCCGCUCAUUGCGUACUGUGAUGUACGACUGAUCGUAUAGUAAAGCAACUGAAUUUUUCAAGACGAACGGCUGCUCUCUAUUGGAUGCCGUCUGUACUGCCCGAACAGAACACAGAAGUCAAUAUGUCGAUCUGUUGAUCCUGCGAAUCAGAGCUGUCAUAAUUUUAGCACAUGGUAACUCUGAGUUCAAAACUCUAUUGAUGUACCAAGUACAUUCCUUUUUGAUACGCCGGACGGAGUUGAGGGUGUUUUCAACAUACAUAUUACGCCGCGUGUCCGUCGACGGAGAAUCGUCGUGGGAUACCCAGCCGAGUCGAGAGUCCAUUAUGAACCGCGAUUCUCUAGUUGUUCUCCUUUGGACGAGUUCGCUAAACAAAUGUAACUUUUCCUCUCUCGAUUCCGCGACACUUUCAACGGAAUAUUCGAUUUGCAGUGCUUGUUCGUUCGAGUCGAUACCGCAAAUAUUGGUAUAUCGAUCAUAUGGUUCGAGAAUGGAUUGACGUGUGAAAAUGAA
rnacentral:misc_RNA from 1 species